rnacentral:rRNA from 1 species
GAUGAACGCUGGCGGCGUGCCUAAUACAUGCAAGUCGAGCGAACGGACGAGAAGCUUGCUUCUCUGAUGUUAGCGGCGGACGGGUGAGUAACACGUGGAUAGCCUACCUAUAUUACUGGGAUAACCGCGGGAAACCGGAUCUAAUACCGGAUAAUAUUUUUAACCGCAUGAUUCAAAAGUGAAAGACGGUUUUGCUGUCACUUAUAGAUGUAUCCGCGCUGCAUUAGCUAGUUGGUAAGGUAACGGCUUACCAAGGCAACGAUGCAUAGCCGACCUGAGAGGGUGAUCGGCCAAACGGGAAGGGGGACAAGGACCAGAAUCCUAAGGGAGGCAGCAGUAGGGAAUCUUCCGCAAUGGGCGAAAGCCUGACGGAACAAAGCCGAGUGAGUGAUAAAGGUCUUCGGAUCGUAAAACUCUGUUAUUAGGGAAGAACAUAUGUGUAAGUAAAUGUGCACAUAUUGACGGUACCUAAACAGAAAGCCACGGCUAACUACGUG